rnacentral:lncRNA from 1 species
AUGCCAGCAUUUACAGCAAGAAAAUGCUUAAAUCUGUCACUCCAUGUCUGGCUAGUUUCUUAUUCCCUCCACCCCCUUCUCCUCUCUCUGUUCCCCUUUCCUGACACCCAGACAACUCUGGCCGUGCCCUCUCCUCCCGAUAUCUGCAGUUUUAGCAGUAUCACACAGCUCCAGGGAUGCUCAGCAAAGUGCCUUUUAAAGGGCCCCAAGUCAGAAACCUCAAACGCGGUCCUACUGAAGAGACAAACGCAGGAGCGGAGACAAAUUGGGCACUCCGGGGUCCGCGGCGAGCAGCAGCAGCAGCCGCCUUCCUCCAUCUCCAGUAGGAAGCGCAAAGGAGCGGGGGGGGAGCGCGGGGGCAACCCGGCCCCGUGCCCCCCCCCCCCCCCCCCCCCCCCCCCCNNNNNNNNNNNNNNNNNNNNNNNNNNNNNNNNNNNNNNNNNNNNNNNNNNNNNNNNNNNNNNNNNNNNNNNNNNNNNNNNNNNNNNNNNNNNNNNNNNNNGGGGGGGGGCAGCGCUGGGAAAGGGGGUGACAGGGAGGGGGGGCAGCGCUGGGGGGGUGCGAGGAAAAGGGGAGACGGGGGAUGAAGGUGGGGACCGAGGGUCGCCAGUAAACGGAUGGGGAGGGGAGGGGAGAGUUGGGGGGGGGGGGGGGGGCGAAGGGGGGGGGGGGACGGGGGGGGGGGGGGGGGGGCGGCUACCUGCGGGCGAGCGCGGGUCGCUCUCGCUGCUGCGGGGCUGCGGGACGAUCCGUGGCCGGGCGAGGGGCUGGGAAGGGGGCAGCGGCCGGUCACUGAGUCAUGAGCCCGCUCUGCCCUGCCUUGCCCUGCCCUGCCCUGCCCUACCCCGGCUGCCCGCCGCUCGCCUCCCUUUCUUCUCUCUGUCCCCCCUCCCGGAGCCGCGGCGGCGGCGGCCGCUGUUGUGCUGCUGCUGCUGCUGCUCCCGCCGCCGCUCCUGCCCCCGCUGCCCGGAGAGAAGUGAAGCCGCCGCCGCCGAGGACGCGCGCGCGCGCGCCCCCGACGCCGACGCCUCCGCCGCGCGCGCCCCCGAGAGCUCGCUCCCUCGCUCCCUCUCCCCCUCUCUCUCCGCCCCCCCCCCCCCGCGGGGGGGGGGGGGGGGAGCGAGGGAGGGAGGCAGGGAGCGCGCGCGCGCGCCCCCGCCAGCCAAUUAGCCCGGGCGCUCAAGGGAGGGGCGCGCGGGAGCGCGCUUUGGGAUAGGGGGUGGGGGAAGGGGGUGCGCGCUCCCGCUGGGGCGGGGGAAGGGGAAAGGGAAGGGGGGGGGGGGGGAGGGGCCGGGGGGGGGCGGGGGGAGCAGGGUCGGCACGGCCCGGCCACAGGGCAGGGGGGGCGGCAUCCGCGGGGCCAACUUUGUUCGCCCAUCUUUCCCCUUUGUCCGCCCCCGGCCCCCCACCGGCGGCCCUUCCUCCGCGGGAUCCCCCCACGGUGCCCGAGCCCCCCGCGGGGCCCGGCCCGGGGCUCCCAAGGGGGCUGCGGGGGUCUGGGGGCGGCGGCCAGGUGAGGGGAGGCCGGGGCAGAGCUGCCCCCCGAGAGGCUCCCCCGGGGCAGGCAGAGCCCCCGGGGCUGUCAGGGAGCCGGCUCCGCUGGCCUAGCCGAGGGAGAGCCUUGGGCCGCCGCCGCUGCUUCGCUCCGGGCGUAGCGAGCGAGCGGAGCUCACCUGUGCUCUGUCAACUUUUACUUCAUCGAGACCUGUGUCGGCCAACACGCCGGCCACGGCUCGAGGAGUCAAAAUGUUUCCCCCUUUUUGACGGCAAAAGGGAAUUGACGAACGCCUUCUUGCCAUCCCGCAUGCAAAAGGGAAAAGUUUCUCCCUGCUUGAGCUGCAGGGCAUUAUACUUUUUCUGACUCAUGGUUACAGUGUAGGUGGAGUCCGGGCUCCCAAACAUACAGAAAUUGAGAACUUGAAGCGCUGCCGAGACGUUUAAGGAUUAGGAGCUUUAUUGGCACCCGGCUCUCAUGCUAUAUCCGGACAGCAGAAGUGAUUUUUGCAGUUUCUCUGUACAUAAAAUUAAUCUUGCUCUUUGUUGAUAAAUUGUUUUGAAAUAACUUGCUUUAUUGUCUCUUCCUGUUUCAUUGUUAAAUAAUCCCAGUGACGUUUUCACCUAAACUUAAAAACGCCGCAGUCAGCUAGUUCUACCCAUUUCAUGUGCAUUU